rnacentral:rRNA from 1 species
AACGAACGCUGGCGGCAGGCUUAACACAUGCAAGUCGAACGCCCCGCAAGGGGAGUGGCAGACGGGUGAGUAACGCGUGGGAAUCUACCCAGUUCUACGGAACAACUGAGGGAAACUUCAGCUAAUACCGUAUACGCCCUAUGGGGGAAAGAUUUAUCGGAAUUGGAUGAGCCCGCGUUAGAUUAGCUAGUUGGUGGGGUAAUGACCUACCAAGGCGACGAUCUAUAGCUGGUCUGAGAGGAUGAUCAGCCACACUGGGACUGAGACACGGCCCAGACUCCUACGGGAGGCAGCAGUGGGGAAUAUUGGACAAUGGGCGCAAGCCUGAUCCAGCCAUGCCGCGUGAGUGAUGAAGGCCUUAGGGUUGUAAAGCUCUUUCAGUGGGGACGAUAAUGACGGUACCCGGAGAAGAAGCCCCGGCUAACUUCGUGCCAGCCGCCGCCGUAAUAC